AUUGAACGCUGGCGGCAUGCCUUACACAUGCAAGUCGAACGGCAGCACGGGGCAACCUGGUGGCGAGUGGCAAACGGGUGAGUAAUGCAUCGGAACGUACCUUUCAGUGGGGGAUAACGUAGCGAAAGUUACGCUAAUACCGCAUAUUCUGUGAGCAGGAAAGCAGGGGAUCGCAAGACCUUGCGCUGAUUGAGCGGCUGAUGUCAGAUUAGCUAGUUGGUGAGGUAAAGGCUCACCAAGGCGACGAUCUGUAGCGGGUCUGAGAGGAUGAUCCGCCACACUGGAACUGAGACACGGUCCAGACUCCUACGGGAGGCAGCAGUGGGGAAUUUUGGACAAUGGGGGCAACCCUGAUCCAGCCAUGCCGCGUGAGUGAAGAAGGCCUUCGGGUUGUAAAGCUCUUUCGGCCGGGAAGAAAUCGCGCGGGCUAAUACCCUGUGUGGAUGACGGUACCGGAAUAAGAAGCACCGGCUAACUACGUGCCAGCCGCCGCCGUAACAC
rnacentral:rRNA from 1 species